rnacentral:rRNA from 1 species
AGUAAUGUCUGGGAAACUGCCUGAUGGAGGGGGAUAACUACUGGAAACGGUAGCUAAUACCGCAUAAUGUCGCAAGACCAAAGAGGGGGACCUUAGGGCCUCUUGCCAUCGGAUGUGCCCAGAUGGGAUUAGCUAGUAGGUGGGGUAAUGGCUCACCUAGGCGACGAUCCCUAGCUGGUCUGAGAGGAUGACCAGCCACACUGGAACUGAGACACGGUCCAG